UACGUAGGGGGCAAGCGUUGUCCGGAAUCAUUGGGCGUAAAGAGCGUGUAGGCGGCCCGAUAAGUCCGCUGUGAAAGUCCAGGGCUCAACCCUGGAAUGCCGGUGGAUACUGUCGGGCUCGAAUCCGGAAGAGGUGAGUGGAAUUCCUGGUGUAGCGGUGAAAUGCGUAGAUAUCCGGAGGAACACCGGUGGCGAAGGCGGCUUCCUGGACCGAUUCUGAGCUGAGGCGCGAAAGCUAGGGGAGCAAACGGGG
rnacentral:rRNA from 1 species